GUAGUCUGCAACUCGACUACAUGAAGCUGGAAUCGCUAGUAAUCGCGAAUCAGAAUGUCGCGGUGAAUACGUUCCCGGGUCUUGUACACACCGCCGUCACACCAUGGGAGUCAGCAACGCCCGAAGCCGGUGACCCAACCGAAAGGAGGGAGCCGUCGAAGGUGGGGCCGAUAACUGGGGUGAAGUCGUAACAAGGUAAC
rnacentral:rRNA from 1 species